GGGCCUCUAGCUCAAGUGGAUAGAGCAACGAACUCAUAAUUCGUAGGUUCGCGGUUCGACGCCGCGGAGGCCCACCA
rnacentral:tRNA from 1 species